GUUGGGCAUGGUGGCGGGUGCCUGUAAUCCCAGCUACUUGGGAGGUUGAGGCAGGAGAAUUGCUUGAACCCGGGAGGCGGAGGUUGCAGUGAGCCAAGAUUGAGCCACUGCACUCCAUCCUGGGUGACAGAGCGAGACUCUGUCUCAA
rnacentral:SRP_RNA from 1 species